rnacentral:rRNA from 1 species
AAGUAUAUGCGUUUUCGGAACGCAGAAACUGCGAACGGCUCAUUACAACAGUUAUGAUCUCCUUGACAUUACCCCCUUUUAUAAGGAUACCUGCGGAAAAGCUGCAGCUAAUACUUGCUCGAUACGCUGUAUAUCUUUUCGGUGUAUGGCGUGGUAUUUGUUAGCUCUGCAAGAAAAAGGAUAAGAUGGGAGUGAGAACAAAGAAGCGACACGUAUGCAGGUUUUUGUUGCCUGUAUGGAGUGCGGAUCAAUCGAGUUUCUGACCUAUCAGCUUUGGAUGUUAGGGUAUUGGCCUAGCAUGGCGAUGACGGGUAACGGGGAAUUGGAGUUCGAUUCCGGAGAGGGAGCCUGAGAAAUCGCUACCACAUCUAAGGAAGGCAGCAGGCGCGUAAAUUACCCAAUUCUGACAAAGAGAGGUAGUGACAAGAAAUAUCAAUACAAGGUCUUUUAUAGACUUUGCAAUUGAAAUGGUGGGAAUCUACAGCCUUCCCAGAGAAGCCAUUGGAGGGCAAGUCUGGUGCCAGCAGCCGCGGUAAUUCCAGCUCCAAUAGCGUAUAUUAACAUUGUUGUAGUUAAAACGCUCGUAGUUGACUUUCAAAAGUGUGGUCAUCGGGGGGAAGGUGCAUGUAUCGAUCUCCUCGUUCUUUGGAUGCUUGUCUUCGGAUUAGGCUCCAAGGAAUGGGUUGGGGUCGUGUGUAUGUUCUCCCUUUGCGAUACGCUUUUUUAGGGGACGUUCUAUACACUUUAUGCUUUCGGGUAUAUGGGUGGAGUAGGAAUCCCUUGUUACUUUGAGUAAAUUAGAGUGUUCAAGGCAGGCAACUAUGCUAGGGGCAACCCGCUUGAAUACUACAGCAUGGAAUAACGACAUUGAGGAAGCCAAUAGGGGUUUCUCCAUUUUUCUUGGAUUGGCUUUUGAUCUUUUUGUAGUACGAUUAAUAGGAGUAGUUUGGGGGCCUUCGUAUUCAGAUGUUAGAGGUGAAAUUCUUAGAUUUUCUGGAGACGAACGACUGCGAAAGCAUUGGUCUAACAUACUUCCAUUAAUCAAGAACGAAAGUUAAGGGAUUGAAGACGAUCAGAUACCGUCGUAAUCUUAACCAUAAACUAUGCCGACUGGGCGUCGGGCGGGUCUUUUUUGGUGGUGGUCCUUAUGCGUAUAUCGCGUGUAGGGUAACUACUCACCGUAUGAACUCCCUCGGUACCCUGAGAGAAAUCAAAGUCUUUGGGUUCUGGGGCGAGUAUUCGCGCAAGCGAGAAAGUUAAAAGAAUUGACGGAAGGGCACCACCAGGCGUGGAGCUUGCGGCUUAAUUUGACUCAACACGGGGAACCUCACUAGUUUACGACAAGAGUAGGAUUGACAAUGUUUAUUUUUGAUUGAAGCUCUUUCUUGAUUUCUUGGUGGGUGAUGCAUGGCCGUUUCUAGUUCGUGAAAUGAUUUGUCUGGUUCAUUCCGAUAACGAACGAGAUCUCCCCCUGCUCAUUAGCACCAGGUGCAUGAUGUGUCAACGGCGUAUCUAUGUAGCGUUCGUUUCGGCAGAACGGAGAUCGGAUGGGGGUAGUGGAGGGAAGUAGAUUGUUGUUCUUGGGAGGUGACUUCGGGUCUGCCUAAGAGCGCGUCUGCUUGUUUUCCCUGCUUCUUGAUUCCGUCCGGGUAUGCCUUGCGAUCUGUCUCGUAGAUGCGUUCGUUGGGACGCACCUUUUUUUGGUUGCUUCUUAGAGGGACUGGGGGUGUCGAAUCCCAGGAAGCUGGAGGCCACAACAGGUCUGUGAUGUCCUUAGAUGAACUAGGCUGCACGCGUGCUACACUGAUGCGUGUAGCGAGCUACUGGGGUGCGGUCCAUACACGUCUCGUAUGUGACUCCUCGUGGGUUCGUAUGUGCGUGUGUGGGUUUUUGCACCUUCCUGCUCCGAGAGGAGUGGGGAAUCUGGAGUACGCAUCGUGAUGGGGAUAGACGAUUGCAAUUAUUCGUCUUGAACGAGGAAUGCCUAGUAAGCAUGAUUCAUCAGAUUGUGCUGACUACGUCCCUGCCCUUUGUACACACCGCCCGUCGCUCCUACCGAUUGAAAGAUAUGAUGAAUUGUUCGGACUGUUCCGUGGGGGGUUUUAUCCUUCUAGGGAGUGGGAAGAACCGUAAAUCCUAUCUUUUAAAGGAAG